GGUUAAGCGACUAAGCGUACACGGUGGAUGCCCUGGCAGUCAGAGGCGAUGAAGGGCGUGCUAAUCUGCGAUAAGCGCCGGUAAGGUGAUAUGAACCGUUAUAACCGGCGAUACCCGAAUGGGGAAACCCAGUGUGACUCGUCACACUAUCAUUAACUGAAUCCAUAGGUUAAUGAGGCGAACCGGGGA
rnacentral:rRNA from 1 species